AAGAAGCAUUACACCCACCCUCACCAAGUCUCGAGCGAUCUUUCAUUUGCUCUCCUUCGAUUCAGCCGAUCUGCUUGUUUUUCUUUUUCUGUGAUUUGGUCGCUUGCUUCCCUUCAAGCUUAAGUUGUGCGACGCUUUCUUUUGUUGUCUAUUUGACACGCUUUCUCACUAUGAAAACCAA
rnacentral:ribozyme from 1 species